UGGGGAAUAUUGCACAAUGGGGGGAACCCUGAUGCAGCGACGCCGCGUGGGUGAAGGAGUAUUUCGGUAUGUAAAGCCCUAUCAGCAGGGAAGACAAUGACGGUACCUGACUAAGAAGCCCCGGCUAACUACGUGCCAGCAGCCGCGGUAAUACGUAGGGGGCAAGCGUUAUCCGGAUUUACUGGGUGUAAAGGGAGCGUAGACGGCAGUGCAAGCCUGGAGUGAAAGGAUGGGGCCCAACCCCAUGACUGCUCUGGGAACUGUGCGGCUAGAGUGCCGGAGGGGUAAGCGGAAUUCCUAGUGUAGCGGUGAAAUGCGUAGAUAUUAGGAGGAACACCAGUGGCGAAGGCGGCUUACUGGACGGUAACUGACGUUGAGGCUCGAAGGCGUGGGGAGCAAACAGGAUUAGAUACC
rnacentral:rRNA from 1 species